ACAAUAGUUUCCACGGUGACCUCAGUGACGGCAGAUAACGCGCUGCUGUUGGACUUCUUGUGGCUGAUAAUACUGGUCAGUUUAUGGACUGCGGAUUUUAAUUCUGGAUCCAGUUCAUCAGUGUUUCCUGACAAACGCUCAGAAGACUAAAACAAAAGAUAGAGGACUACCACAUGAAGGUUUCCAAAUUUCUCCAUUCUGUCAUCAUAAGAAAUGGAUGUUACUGCGGUAAGCAUUGAGAGUGCCUCCCUUCCCAGUGGUCAGAGCAGUGACAGUAAUAAUCUCCCUGGACAUUGAAA